rnacentral:rRNA from 1 species
AACGAACGCUGGCGGCAUGCCUAAUACAUGCCAGUCGAACGAGACCUUCGGGUCCAGUGGCGCAUGGGUGUGUAACGGGUGGGAACCUGCCCUUAGGUUCGGAAUAACUCCCCGAAAGGGGUGAUAAUACCGGAUAAGGUCUUCGGACCAAAGAUUUUUUGCCUUUGGAGGGGCCCGCGUUGGAUUAGGUAGUUGGUAGGGUAAAAGCCUACCAAGGCGACGAUCCAUAGCUGGUUUGAGAGGAUGGUCAGCAACACUGGGACUGAGACGCGGCCCAGACUCCUACGGGAGGCAGCAGUGGGGAAUAUUGGACAAUGGGCGAAAGCCUGAUCCAGCAAUGCCGCGUGAGUGAUGAUGGCCUUAGGGUUGUAAAGCUCUUUUACCCGGGAUGAUAAUGACAGUACCGGGAGAAUAAGCUCCGGCUAACUCCGUG